rnacentral:rRNA from 1 species
GUAGGUGGCAAGCGUUGUCCGGAAUUAUUGGGCGUAAAGCGCGCGCAGGUGGUUCUUUAAGUCUGAUGUGAAAGCCCCCGGCUCAACUGGGGAGGGUCAUUGGAAACUGGGGAACUUGAGUGCAGGAGAGGAAAGUGGAAUUCCACGUGUAGCGGUGAAAUGCGUAGAUAUGUGGAGGAACACCAGUGGCGAAGGCGACUUUCUGGCCUGUAACUGACACUGAGGCGCGAAAGCGUGGGGAGCAAACAGGAUUAGAUACCCUGGUAGUCCACGCCGUAAACGGUGAGUGCUAAGUGUUGGGGGGGGUUUCCGCCCCCUCAGUGCUGCAGCUAACGCAUUAAGCACUCCGCCUGGGAGUACGGUCGCAAGACUG